rnacentral:snRNA from 1 species
AAUUUCAUAUUGGAAGAAAACGC